rnacentral:ribozyme from 1 species
UGCUGAGAAUUUUCCUCUCUCCACCUUCCCAUGGUACAGGCUGGUCCCUGAGGAGGAGGCGUGGGGCUUAGGAGGAAGG